rnacentral:misc_RNA from 1 species
GAUGAAGAACGUAGCGAAAUGCGAUAAGUAGUGUGAAUUGCAAAAUUCCGUGAAUCAUCGAAUCUUUGAACGCACAUUGCGCCUUCUGGUAUUCCGGAAGGCAUGCCUGUUCGAGAGUCAUUAACAACCGUUUCGAUCCCUUUCUUUCAGAAAUUACAAAGAGGAAAAGGGUUUGGUUAUGGUGGAGGAGGGAAAGGGAGCGUUUAGCCUGUAAAAAAAGAGGCUGUGUUCCGCCUCCCCCCCAAAAUUGUACAGGCGGUCGUGUGCGCCCACGCAUCGAGGUGUUGUAAAAGCUGCCACGGCACUUUUCACCUGUGCAGUGCGAGAUUGGCCAGCCGGUUUAAAAACCCCUCCAAACAAUCAAAGGUUGACCUCGGAUCAGGUAGGGAUACCCGCUGAACUUAAGCAUAUCAAUAAGCGGAGGA